rnacentral:lncRNA from 1 species
AAUUAAUUGCAAAUCUUAACACUUUAUCAAAGUUUAUUAAAAAUAAUUGCAUAAUGAUAAGUCAUGCCUAUGGAAGAAAGAUGUAUGAUGAAUAUGCUGACACAUCUUACUGAAUAUAUUAAAAAAUGCUUUGUAAUUGUUGCGUUCCAAUGUCUGACAUGUGAAUAAUGCGCUAACUUAUCCCGAAUGCGAUAUGACAAUAUUGUUCUAAUAUAUUAAUCCUGUUGACUCGUAUUAUUAUCAUGCGCCUAAUCUAAGUUAAUAAUAUAUAAAUAACGAGCAUCUAGAAAAAAAAGAAACGUUCUGUCGAGUGUCAAGUUGUCACAGAGCAUCAGUUAAAAAGUCCCGUGACUAACACGUUAACGAACAGCCACCGAAAUAGUCACUUUUUCUUUUUAUCUAAAAGCUUAUGUAUAGAGACUUUAAAAAUGGCGCCGUCCGUCAAAAUGACGUAAUUGGAGAAGGAUGAGAAGUCGAUGUUAAGGCUAAAUUGAGAUUUAUAUAUAUAAUCUGAACAACGAGAUAAAUAGUCGACAAAUGGUACCUAGGGACAUAAUUCUGAAAGAGGAACUGGUGGUACAAAAGGGAUUUAACGGUUGGUAAAUGUAUACGGAAAUUCUCCACGCUAAUAUAAGUUAUAACGACUGCGCAAUCAGGCGAAUGCGUUUUCCUAGUAAGGUACUUAAUACUAACAUUAAACAAUAUAUAGACUACGGUUAUUUUACGUAGAAACAAUCAUCCAUAUUUAAUACUUAGAAUCGAUAGGGCUUAUUUAACAUAAAAAGUUUUCUUUGGCUAAUUACAUAAAUCGUCGAAGAAGAAACUUUUUUGUUCAAGAAGAGGCCUAAAGAAGGCAUCGAGUUCUUGGCUACACUAUUUUAAGCUACCGAACCCCUAACUACGGUUUGGCCAGUAGAAUAGCUAACGUAUGGAAUGCCGAAACUUUUUUAAGCGUAUGAUGUCUUACAUACCUGUACAUUUGCAUAUUUCAUCCGACAUUUGGAAAAGUACUUCUGUUUCUUCCAAUUUCAACGAAGAAUGGGCGGCACGAGGUGUUUCCCGAGUGGAUCAUAAGCUAGAACAGCUUUUGGGUUUAGAUAUAAACCAGUUGCUAAAAGACUCUUGUCAACAGAGUACCGGAAAUACUCGAGACAUAGAACGUUAAAAACUUCUACAAAAUUAUGAAUGGCAAUAUUAUUUGUAAGAUAGAUAUUAAAGUAAUAAUUAUUGUUGUUAAAUAUCGAUAAUACUCUUAUACCAAAACAUACUUUGUCUACUAAUAACGAUGUGUACUUCGUUCAUAUAU